GACGAACGCUGGCGGCGUGCUUAACACAUGCAAGUCGAACGGAAAGGCCCUGCUCUUGUUGGGUGCUCGAGUGGCGAACGGGUGAGUAACACGUGAGUAACCUGCCCUUGACUUUGUGAUAACUUCAGGAAACUGUGGCUAAUACCGGAUAGGUGCUCCUGCUGCAUGGUGGGGGUUGGAAAGUUUCGGCGGUUGGGGAUGGACUCGCGGCUUAUCAGCUUGUUGGUGGGGUAGUGGCUUACCAAGGCUUUGACGGGUAGCCGGCCUGAGAGGGUGACCGGCGACAUGGGGACUGAGAGACGGACCAGACUGGUACGGGAGACAGCAGUGGGGAAUAUUGCACAAUGGGGGGAAGCCUGAUGAAGCAACGCCGCGUGCGGGAUGACGGCCUUCGGGUUGAAAACCGCUUUCGCCUGUGACGAAGCGGGAGUGACGGUAAUGGGUAAAGAAGCACCGGCUAACUACGUG
rnacentral:rRNA from 1 species